rnacentral:lncRNA from 1 species
UAAAAGAAGCUAGCUUAGGUCUAUUAGAGCUGGUAGGUCAGUGUUUUAUGCACCUUCUGGAUGCCCAUUUCCACUUUAGUCUAGGUAACCUGCCAAUUAUUCCUCAUUCCUUGACCUUUGUCCAUACAAGCUAACUGAGUCAUAUAGUUGAGAAAAGCCCUUUAUAGAAAGAAAAAAUUCAUGGUUAUUAGGAGGAAAAAAACAUACUAUUUUAUACAGAACACAGUCAGUGAGAUGGAAAAAUGGCAAUUAAGUAAAAAUAAAGUACAAAAAGAAUGAGUUUUUAAGAAUAUAGUUAGAUCAAAUAGACCAGAAAGUUAUCACCCAUGAUUCAGUUAUUUAUGGCAAAGAUUAUAGAACAUGCUAGUAUAUGAAGUUGAUCCAUCAUAGGCAGUACAAGGAUAUCGGUUGAAUCAGUGUUGUGGUUCAGGUUCCCAUAGCAUAUCUGUUGAAGCAAUAAGGAUUCUGUCCUAUUAAUAAAAAAAUCGAAAGAGUGAAUGCAGGAGAAAUUUGUGCCAUGCACUUAUAACGUAAUUCAUAGUAUGCUUUAUUUUUUCAAUUUUUUUUUUUGCUAUCUAACGCUGGUUUAUUGGUACAUGAUAUUGAAGCAUGUUAAUUUCAGGAAUCUUGGUGGAUGUCGUAUAGCCACAACUAAUUGAAAAACAUCCCAAUAUUUGGUAAUUGGUCCAAAUGUUGGGCUACAAAAAUCAGUGGGUAAUCUUCUGCCCUUCAAACUUCUAGUGAAGGAGGGAUUCAGUUGUGUAUAUUUGAUAUGAUACGAUAAGGCAAAGAAUUUUUAGCAGAUGCCUCGAGGAAAAGUCAUGGCCUGUAGUGUUAUCUGUCAUCUAGCAACUGGGAUUCAGGUGCACUGGACCUCCCAAGAAUUUCAGCCAUAGAUUUUUGAAUGUGGAUGAUACGUAGCUUCAACUUUGAAGAUAUUUCAUCUCCUCAAUACCUGUAGCACUCUAGGUGAGGCUGUGGGAGUAAAUGAACUACCUUUAGCUCAGCCUCUUUUACGGUAUUAUCUUUUCCUAGGGUAGCUUUUGCAAAUCCUUUCUAAACAGCAGCAUCAGGUGGUGUAGGAUUCCCCAGACCGUAAAAUCUUAGUGUUGUUUUUGUAAUUUCCUUUGUUUUCUUUCUUUAAGCUCAUUGCACCAAACAAAAAAAAAAAGAAAAGAAAAGCAUUAUUGUAGCUUGAGAAGGGCAACUUACAAGCAAUCCUUUCAUCUGUAUCUUGUACCCACCAUCGUAGUUUCC